rnacentral:rRNA from 1 species
UACGAAAGGUGCAAGCGUUGUUCGGAAUGACUGGGCGUAAAGCGCACGUAGGCGGGUUCGCAAGUAGGAUGUGAAAGCCCCGGGCUCAACCCGGGAAUGGCAUUCUAAACUACGGACCUUGAAUGCUUGAGAGGUUGGCGGAAUUCCUGGUGUAGGAGUGAAAUCCGUAGAUAUCAGGAGGAAUAUCGGAGGCGAAGGCGGCCAACUGGUGGUGCAUUGACGCUAAGGUGCGAAAGCGUGGGGAGCAAAC